CGCGUAGGCGGAUAUUUAAGUCGGGGUGAAAGCCCAGGGCUCAACCCUGGAAUAGCCUUCGAUACUGGAUAUCUUGAGUACGGGAGAGGUGAGUGGAACUCCGAGUGUAGAGGUGAAAUUCGUAGAUAUUCGGAAGAACACCAGUGGCGAAGGCGACUCACUGGCCCGUUACUGACGCUGAGGCGCGAAAGCGUGGGGAGCAAACA
rnacentral:rRNA from 1 species